GGGUCGGUAGCUCAGUCGGUAGAGCAGCGGACUUUUAAUCCGUUGGUCGUGGGUUCGAAUCCCGCCCGACCCACCA
rnacentral:tRNA from 5 species